UAUACACUGAUCACUAUGAAGACAUAAAGAUUUGUUAAAAGUGGCCUUUGAAGGGCAUGUAAUUGUGUCCAGAAUUGGUGGGUUCUUGGUCUCACUGACUUCAAGAAUGAAGCCGCGGACCCUCACGGCCAAGACAUCCAAGGUCAAAGGGCCUACAUCUGGUGAAGGUCUUCUUGCUGCUUUAUCCCAUGGUGGAAGGCAGAUGAGUUCACAGAAAAUAGAAAUUCUUUACAUAGUCUUCUGAUCAACAGAAUCAAAGCCCUUUCUCUGUAAAUACUGGCUAGAGAGUUGCUAACUUCAAUAAUGGAGAAAUGGAAAAAUCAGUUUCUUUCUCCAGUAAAACCACAAAAGCCAUGGUUUUAAAAGAAACUAUAGAGGAUGUCUUGUGUGGAGUCCUUAGCUUUGUGAGUGCUAAAAUUUAAGACAUAGGAAAUCAUGACUUCCUGGUGGCAGCCUCAUGAUUCUGAGAUCACAGCACAUGGAUGUGGUACAGCCAGCAGAGGUGGUGGUGUCUUCUCGAAUUCCUGACCUUCUUUCCAUGGCAGAAGAAGCAACCGUUUUGCUAAUUGAGGUCUAUGGUGGUGUUCCUGGAAGCUCCAUCUCUAACCUAUUUACCUAAUCCUUCCAAAAAUCUCAUACUGAAUCUUUUCAUGUUUAAAUUAUUUAGAAUGGUUUGUGGUAUCUGUAAACACUAACCAAUGCUUCCCACAAUAAAAUCAGCAGUAUGGAAAGAAAGAAA
rnacentral:lncRNA from 1 species